UGUGUAGGCGGCUCUCUAAGUUUGGUGUGAAAUCUCCCGGCUCAACCGGGAGGGUGCGCCGAAAACUGGAGGGCUAGAGUGCGGGAUGGGAGAGUAGAAUUCCUGGUGUAGCGGUGAAAUGCGCAGAUAUCAGGAGGAAUACCGGUGGUGUAGACGGCUCUCUGGACCGCAACUGACGCUGAAACACGAAAGCGUGGGUAGCAAACAGGAUUAGAUACCCUGGUAGUCCACGCCCUAAACGAUGCAUAUUUGGUGUAGGUCAUUCAGUUGAUCUGUGCCGGAGCUAACGCGUUAAAUAUGCCGCCUGGGGAGUACAGUUGCAAGGCUGAA
rnacentral:rRNA from 1 species